CUCUGAGUACAAUCCAGCUGCUCUUUCACGGUAUAGAACUGUUCUUUCUAUUGCAAUAAUAGGUUGCACACUGCUAGUGUUGGAUGCACCAAGGAAAAUAACAGAGGAAUACAUAGCUCCAACAAGAUUUAAAAGGAACAGUACUGUUUCCAGAAGCAAGCAUUGCAUUGAGUAACAAAUGGUUGCGAGUAUUUAGAUGGAAAGUAAAGGUCCUUUGUUCCAGGUGCUGGUGUGGAUAGUUCCUUGAUAAGUUCUUGGCUCUUUCUGGAUUUUUUAAAAUCAAAGCAUCAUGAGAAAUUCUAGACAAAUAUGGGUAAAAAGAAACGCGAGUCUCUCAGAAUAUAGGAAUGAAUGACUGAGUGUCACUUACUCGUAAAGGCUUGAGUUAUUGUAUAAUUCCGCAAAAUCUAUAUCAAGCUGAGACUCAACCACAGGAGAACUGAUCUCCAGCAUCCAUGUAGCUGGAUUAUAUCCAUCUUCAAUCUUUGGAAUUCCUGUAAUAGCCUGAAAAAUGUUAUACACAAUCUGUUAGGUUACUGACAUCUAACUAAUUAAGUUUAUACAUUAUCAGGGACAAGUUUACCUCAAAGUACUCGAUAAGUUUCUCAGAAUUUCGACCUAGAGGGCCACCAUAUAUCACUUGUCCACCGGUCUUCAACAAAAGCAACUAUACUCAAAAUGGGCCAAAGCUCUAGCAUCAAGACCAGUUGUUGGUUCAUCCAUAAAGAUAAUGGAAGGAUUCGCAACCAAUUCUACAGCAAUGGUAAGCCUCUUUCUCUGCUCAGUUGAUAAGCCAUCUAUUCCAGGAAGGCCGACUAAGAAAUUUCUCACUAGAUGUAACUCAACUAGCUCUAUAACUUCCUCAAUAAACAUCUGAGGAUAAUAAGUAGAGUUGUAGACAAUUAGAAUCAGUUGGAGUGUACUCUUAAUUGUUGUUCUGCUUAGUUAGUUUUUCUCGAUUGUCA